UAUGAUGAUGAUGAUGAUGAUAAGAUAAUGAAAUAUUUAAAAACAAUGUAUAUAUAGAGUGCCAAUAAUUUCAAUCGUAUUAACGUACGCGACUCGCUUACCUAUACCCGUACUAUAAUAAUUCGUCCCGCAGUGUGAACUUAAAUUUCUCAUCGAGAACUGUUUGUAUACGCCCGGUUUCAUUUCGUUGCCAUAAUACCAUAUGUAUAGUGUUUUUCCCGAUAUACCUAACGCUAUACCAAAAGGCUGUAGUUUUUGCUUCUUGGACAUAGUAUGUGUAUAUAUGGACUGUUA